UGAGUACGAGAUGCUACGGCAUCGAAGCAGUCUAUGUCAUACUUCCAAGAAAAGCUUGCAAUGUCAUAAACAAAUAAUGCCUGUACCAUAACCGACACAGGUGGGUAGGUAGAGUAUACUAAGGGGCGCGAGAUAACUCUCUCUAAGGAACUCGGCAAAAUGACUCCGUAACUUCGGGAGAAGGAGUGCCUUAUUUUUAUAAGGUUGCAAUAACAAGAUCCAAGCAACUGUUUACCAAAACCACAGGUCUCCGCUAAGUCGUAAGACGAUGUAUGGGGGCUGACGCCUGCCCAGUGCCAGAAGGUUAAAGAAGUUGGUUAGCAUUAGCGAAGCUGAUAACUGAAGCCCUGGUGAACGGCGGCCGUAACUAUAACGGUCCUAAGGUAGCGAAAUUCCUUGUCGGGUAAGUUCCGACCCGCACGAAAGGCGUAAUGAUUUGGAUACUGUCUCGGAGAGGGGCUCGGUGAAAUAGACUUGUCUGUGAAGAUGCGGACUACCUGCACCUGGACAGAAAGACCCUAUGAAGCUUUACUGUAACUUGAGAUUGAAAUUGGACUUUAUCUGCGCAGUAUAGGUGGGAGACGUUGAAAAUAUUCUUGCGGGAAUAUUGGAGUCAUCAGUGAGAUACCACUCUUAUAAUGUUAGAUUUCUAACUUUGUAUCAUUAUCUGGUCAAAGAACAGUUUCAGGCGGGCAGUUUGACUGGGGCGGUCGCCUCCCAAACGGUAACGGAGGCGCACAAAGGUUUCCUCUGAACGUGUAGAAAUCGUAUCUAGAGUGUAAAGGCAUAAGGAAGCUUGACUGUGAGACCUACAAGUCGAGCAGGGACGAAAGUCGGUCUUAGUGAUCUGACGGUGCUGAGUGGAAAGGCCGUCACUCAACGGAUAAAAGUUACUCUAAGGAUAACAGGCUGAUCUCCCCCAAGAGUUCACAUCGACGGGGAGGUUUGGCACCUCGAUGUCGGCUCAUCGCAUCCUGGGGCGGUAGUACGUCCCAAGGGUUGGGCUGUUCGCCCAUGAAAGCGGUACGCGAGCUGGGUUCAGAACGUCGUGAGACAGUUCGGUCCAUAUCCGGUGUAGGCGUUAGAAUAUUGAGAGGAGCCUUCUUUAGUACGAGAGGACCGAGAAGGACAUACCUCUGGUGUACCAGUUAUCGUGCCAACGGUAAACGCUGGGUAGCCAUGUAUGGAGAGGAUAACCGCUGAAAGCAUCUAAGUGGGAAGCCCACCUCAAGAUAAG
rnacentral:rRNA from 1 species